rnacentral:piRNA from 1 species
UGAGAACAAGACAAGAAAAGUCAGUAGUGUU